rnacentral:rRNA from 1 species
GAUCCUGGCUUAGGAUGAACGCUAGCUACAGGCUUAACACAUGCAAGUCGAGGGGCAUCAUGGAGUUGCUUGCAAACUCUGAUGGCGACCGGCGCACGGGUGAGUAACGCGUAUCCAACCUUCCCUAUAGUAGAGGAUAGCCCGGCGAAAGUCGGAUUAAUACUCUAUGUUUUCCGUUGCAGACAUCUAAGAUGGAACAAAGGCUUGCCGCUAUAGGAUGGGGAUGCGUCUGAUUAGGUAGUCGGCGGGGUAACGGCCCACCGAGCCAUCGAUCAGUAGGGUUCUGAGAGGAAGGUCCCCCACAUUGGAACUGAGACACGGUCCAAACUCCUACGGGAGGCAGCAGUGAGGAAUAUUGGUCAAUGGGCGAGAGCCUGAACCAGCCAAGUAGCGUGCAGGACGACGGCCCUAUGGGUUGUAAACUGCUUUUAUGCGGGGAUAAAGUUCACUACGUGUAGUGUUUUGUAGGUACCGCAUGAAUAAGGACCGGCUAAUUCCGUGCCAGCAGCAGC